UGAUCUCCUUCAACAGAGAUAUGACCGAUAGACAGGUCGUGAGGCGAUCUCCUUCAACAGAGAUUUGUCUGAUGUGUGUUUACAGAUGACUAGAUCAGAAUGCUCUGUUCACUGUCAAACCUGGCCUGCCCUGAGACUGUACACAGACCUGUGAUAUACCAUACCUUCACCUUGCUCUGGUUUUAACAUGUUGAGUUGCACUGUGAAAUACUGAUGCAAGAGUUGCUCUGGAAUUGAAUGAAACAUCCACUGUAAAGUAAAACGUCAGCACCAAGACCGUGAUUAGACAAAACAAAUACUGGUCAAAUAAUCUGACAUUGUGUCGUGUUUCCAUAGGCUUCAAACCAUGAAUGUCCUCUUUGAAUUGAGUUCACUUUCUUACCGUAUAUUUCAUCUUUCUUACCGUAUAUUUAAUCUUUCUUACCGUAUAUUUCAUCUUUCUUACCGUAUAUUUAAUCUUUCUUACCGUAUAUUUAAUCUUUCUUACCGUAUAUUUAAUCUCUCAAACUCAAUUAGUUUCAGGGUUUCGUCUUUAAGACUCGUUUUAGAACUAGCUAGCUUUUUAUUCCGAGACUAUUUCUUUAAACGUUUGUUGCUUUUCAAAACGUUUCAAUUUAUUUUCUCUCUUUUGGUUCUUUUUGAUUUGUUUGUUUAAGUGUUGUAGAAACUGGACAACGGCUGCAUUGAACGGGAAAUUGUUGUAUUAUAAAAUGAUAAUAAAGUGUUUGUCUUUA